UUCCAGGAAGUUAUUUUACUGCCUGCAAAUAACCGGCUCCAGCUUGUUUCCGGGUGGGGUUGGAUGCUCAAAGAUUGUGAGCAAUGAGCUAGUCUGGAAAGGAAGGAAAGGAGGAUCACAAAGUUACGGAGCAAGGAGACUCUGCCAGGAGAUGGACUGAGUCGUCUCCUGUGCAAGUGCCAACACUCUCUCUGGCAGGUAGGACUGCAUUGUUUCUAAGAGCCAGUUAUGGGGACUCCAUGCACCCCUGCACCCUCUCUCCUCCCACUUCCUGUGGGACUGGCUGCUCCUUUUGAGGGGCUUGCACAUCUGGUUAAGUUCUAGCCUAUUUCCCUCUUGGGUAGGAAACACAGCCAAGCCGUCUUAGGAUUGCAUGUUCACCACUUGAAACUCACAGGUGUUUUGCUGGGGCCAGGUUCUUCUUCACUGAAGAAAUAGUCAAAAGGAGAGGGGAGCCUGGGAAGGCUGACAUCUGUGAAGUCACCCUUGUCAGCCAGCCAGACUGGAGUGCAAAGGACACUCUGAGCCCACCUGGGACUUUAGGUUAAGUGUUUGGAGGUUUUGACACAACGGAGCAAAAGCUUUGAACAGAACACCAUCCCCUUGGGUUCUGUUUGUGCCCGGGGUCAGGAAGUGCAGUGUGAUUUUACUUUCAAGGGAUGACUGCUGCAGAUUCACUCGUGAUCUAGUCAUUGCCUAAAAACUCCCACCUCCAAACAUUGCUGCAUUAGGGACCAAGUCUUCAACACAUUAGCCUUUGUGGGGACAUUGUAGGUUCAAACUGUAGCACUGUGUGAACAGGGAGACCCAGGAGGGAGUGACGAGCCACGCACCACUUGGUCUUGAUCUGUUGCUCCCCAGUGGUUAGCGAUGCCGAACAUCUUUUUGUGAGCUUAUUCGGCACUUGGAUAUCCUCCUCUGUGAAAUGUUUCUUCCUGCUCUUUGCCUGUUUUCUAAGUGGAUUCCUUGUUAUUUUUACUGUUGAGUUUUAGAAAUAGAUUUAUAUACAUAUGAAGCUCGAUAAAUUAUAUAUAUAUACAUACAUAAAUUUUAUAAACUUUCAUGUUUUAUAGAUUAUACAUAAAGAAAGUUCUUUACAUAGUCUAGAAACAAGCCAUUUAUGAGACAUGUGGUUUGGAAAUAUUUUCUUUUUAUCCUCUUAGCAGGGUUGCUCACAGAAUAAAAAUUGAAAUUUUGAUGUAGUCAAAUGUAUUUCUGUUACUAUGACAUAAUACCUGAGAUAUGCCAACUUACAAGGUGAAAAAUUUAUUUUGGCUAACAGUUAUGGAGCUUUUGGUCCACAAUCUAUUGGCUUCUUGCUUUGGGGCCUGGGGUAAGGCAUAUCAUGAUGGGAGCAAGUGGUGGAGGAGGCUGCUCACCUCAUAGCAUUUGGGAUGCAAAAAAGAAAGAAAGGGCCUGGAGUCAGAGUACUCCCUUCAAGGGCAGACCCUCAGUGACCUAACCCCUUUUAAAGGUUCUACCAUUUCCCAAUAGUUCCACUGUCUGGAAAGACACAUAUCCAAACUAUAGCACCUAAUUUAUCAAUAUUUCUCUUCUAUGGACCUUUGGUGUCAUGUGUAAGAAGUGUUCACCAAGCCCUAGUACCUGAAGAUUUUCUCAUAUGUUUUCUUCUAAAAAAUUUAGAAGUUAAUUUUUGUAUAAGGGGGUGAAGCUUCAGUCAGGAUUUUUUUUGUUUUGUUUAUUUGUAGAUAUAUAAUUUCCACUGCACCAUUUUUUGAAAAGGCUACCUUUCCUCUGUUGCAUUUGUACCUUUGUCAAAAAUCAGUUGGCUGUAUUUCUGGCUUCUCUAUUUUGUUCCACUGAUUUAUAGGUCUGUCCCUCUGCCCACACAACAAAGUCUUCAUUCCUAUAGCUAUCUAAGACUUCCCACUUUAUUCUUCUUUUCAAAAUUAUUUUUGUUACUGCAGAUUCCUUGAGCUUCCACAUAAAUUUUGGAGUACGUUUGUCUAUAUCUUCAAAAAUUCUUGUUGGGAUUUUGAUAGGCAUUGCAUUAAGACUUGUAGACCAUUUGGGGAUAAAAUCGGUACUUUUUGCUAAAUGAUUCAGUUCAGUUAGGAUUCAUUUCCAUCCAUGAAUACUGUAUGUCUCUGCACUUAUUUAGAUUUUGAUUUCUUUCAUCAGUGUUUUGUAAUCUUCAGCUAAGUAUAUGUUGUAUUAGGUUUACAUGUAUUUUAGGACUGAGGCUAUAACUCAGUUUUAGAGUGCUUGCCUGGUAUGUAUGAGGUCGUAGGUUCAAUUCUCAGUACUGCAAAAAAAAAAAAAAAUCAUAGCUGUAAGUAGUAUUGUAUUUUUAGUUUCAUUUUCCAUGGGUUCAUUGCUAGUUGAAAUACAGCUGAUCUUUAUAUGCUGAUUUUUUAUUCUGAAACCUUGCUGAAAUUAGUUCUAGGAUUUGUUUUAUAGAAUCCAUGAGCCUCUCUAAAUUUAUCACUUACUAAAUAUGUUAUCUUCCAGUAACUUUAUUUCUUCCUUUCUGAUCUGUAUCCUUCUCCUCCCUGACCCUCUCCUCUUAUUUGAACUGGCUAGAACUUCCAGAGUUAUACUGAACAGCAGCUGCAAGGGACGUCCCUGUCUUGUUACAAUUUUAAGAGGAAAAUACUGUCUUUCAUCAUUAAAUUUAAUAUUAGCUGAAGGUGUUUUGGUAGAAGUUCUUCAUAAAGUUGAGGAAGUUCCCCUCUAUUUUUUUUAAUGUUAUUGAGUUAUGACAAGUAAUUUUCCUGCACCAGUUGACAUAUGAUUUUUCUUCUUCAUCUGUUAAUAUGGUGGAUUGUAUUAAUUGAUUCUUGAAGGUUGUAUCAGCCUUGCGUACCUGGAAUAAAACCCCCUUUGAUCAUGAUAUACAAUUCUUUUUUAAUCUGUGGCUGAAUUCUAUAAUUUGUUGCUGAAUUCUAUUAGCUAAUGCUAUGUUAAGGAUUUUUAUAUCUAUGUAUGUAAGGGAUAUUGGAAUACUUUUCUCUGUGUAGUCAUUCUUUGAUAGCCAUAGGAGAUUGGUGCCAGGUCCCUUUUCAGAUAUCAUAAUCAUCAUAUGUUCAAGUCUCUUAUGAGAAACAACAGGUUAUUUGAAUACAAACUAUGCGUGUCUUUCCAUAUGCUUUAAAUCAUCUCUUGAUUAUUCAUAGUACCUAAUACAAUGUAAAUACUAUGGAAAUAGUUGUUAUGCUAUAUUGUUUAGGGAAUAAUGAUGAGAAAAAAGUCUGUAAAUGUUCAGUACAGACACAAUUUGUUUUCAAAUAUUUUAAAUCUGUGUUUGCGUGAAUUCACAGGCUUGAAACCUUGGAUAUGCAGGUCUGAUUACUCUCUCUGUCUUAUUUUGGUCUGGCUUUAUAAAGUGAGUUGGGAAAUGUUUUCUUGUUUUAUUUCCUGGAAAAGAUUGUGUAGAACAGGCGUUAAUUCUUUUUUUUUUAAGUUUCUUUUUUAAAUUUAUAUAUGACAGUAGAAUGCACUACACUUCUUAUUACACAUAUAGAGCACAAUUUUUCAUAUCUCUGGUUGUAUACACAGUAUAUUCACACCAAUUCAUGUCUUCAUACCUGUACUUUGGAUAAUAAUGAUCAUCACAUUCCACCAUCAUUAAUAACCCCAUACCCUCUCCCUUCCCCUCCAACCCCUCCAUCCCCUCUGCCCUAUCUAGAAUUAGUCUAUUCCUUCCAUGCUCCCGCUCCCUAUCCCACUAUGAAUCAGCCUCCUUAUAUCAAAAUUUUUUUAAAAAAAUUGUUUUUUUGGGACUGGCUAACUUCACUUAGCAUUCUCUUCUCUAACUCCAUCCAUUUAUCUGCAAAUGCCAUGAUUUAUUCUCUUUUAUUGCUGAGUAAUGUUCCAUUGUGUAUAUAUAUGCCACAUUUUUUUUAAUCCAUCAUCUAUUGAAGGGAAGACUAGGCAUUAAUUCUUUAGUUAUUCAGUAGAAUUACCCAGUGAAAUAAUUUGGCCCUAUAGAUUUCCUUUUGGGAGCUUUUAAAUUACAAAUUCAAUUUCUUUAAGAGUCAUAGGGUUAUUCAAAUUAUUUAUUUCAUACUGAGGGUACUGUAGUAGUCUGUGCUUUUUGAGAAGUGGUCUGUUUCAUUGAAGUUGUGUUUUUUUUUUGGUAUGUAAAGUUGUUCGUGUUACUGUUCCUUUGCUGUUUUUUCAAUGUCUGUAGGUUCUAGGCCCUGCAGUGACAGCCCUGUUACAGUCCUGAUUGGUAAUUUCUAACUUUUCCCUUUUUCUUUGUCAGUCUUGGCAGACAUUUGUUAAUUUUAUUGAUUUUUUUUCUCCAAGGAACUCAUUUUUCAUUUCAUUGAUUUUUCUCUAUUGUUUUCUGUUUUCAAUUUCAUUGAUUUCUGCUCUUGCCUUUAGUAGUUUCUUCCUUCUGCUUGCCUGGGGUUUAUUCUGCUCUACUUUUUCUAGUUUCUUAAGGCAGAUCUGAAUUUAUUGUUUUCAAUCUGCAGUGGUUUGGAGAAGGGUCCCCCAAAGGCUCCCAUGUUAAAGGCUUGUCCCCUGCCUGGAGCACAGCUGGGGGGAGGUGGAAGCUCAGGAGGUGAGCCCCAGUGGGAGGUCUUCAGGUCCCUGGGGAUGUGUCUUGGAAGGGGACUGUGGAACCCUGGCUCCUUCCUCCUUCCUUCUUUUUGCUUCCUGAUGGGGAGGUCUGUGGUUUGGCUCUGCCAUGCAUUCCCACCAUGGUGUGCUGCCUCAUCAACGUGGUCGAUCGAUGAUGGACCGUAACCUCGCCAAACUGUGAGCCAAAUAAAAGCUUUUCUUCGAAAAGUUGAUUAUCUCAGUAUUCAGUUACAACACUGGAAAGUGACUAACACAUCAUCUCUCCCUCUUUUCUGAUGUAAGGAUUUAUUGCUAUAUAUUUCUAAGUCUCCUGGUGUUGGCAUUUUACUCGUUUGGGGAAAUUCUAGAAAAUUUUCUUCUCUUUAUUUCCCUUUACUUUCCCCAUUUAGAAUGUAAUUGUCUUAAACAUUUUCCCUACAUACCUUAAGAACCAUGUCAGACGAUGAUAUAAUUUCUGCUUCAGCCAAUUGGAAACUCAGGAUGAGUUUUUCUGUUUACCUAUAUUUUUACUUUUUCUGUUUUUUUUUUCUUUCUGAUUUUUCAAGGUGCCUUCUUUAAUCAUUUUGUUUUUCUUUGUCAAGAAACUUAUUGCUCUUUUCUUUCAGCACUUGAAACAUAUCGAGUUACCUCUUGGGGUUCCUAUAGUUUCUAAGGUGAGAUGGUCUUUCAUUCAGGUUAGAUCUUCUUUAAAGUAAGGUGUCUUUUCUCUCUUGAUGCUUUCAAGAUUUUUAAAUUUGUCUUUGGAAUUCACAAGUUUGAUUAUGAUAUCCAUGGCAUAAUUUCUUUGUGUUUAUCCUGCUUGAUGUUUGCCCAGUUGCUUGAAUGUGGAGGUUUACAUCUUGUGCCAAACUUGUGGAUAUUUUGGCCUUUACUUUUUGAAUAUAUUUUUGGUCCCAUCCUCUCUCCUCUCUCUCUUGGACUCAGAUGACAUAAUCUUAACAGUUUUGUCAUUCAUUGUCCCAUAGGUCUGUGGAUGCUCUUCCCCCACCCCAAUCUAUUUUCUUUUUGCUAUUUAGAUUGGGUAAUUUCUCUCUACUUCCAAGUUCACUGAGACUUCUGUGCUCUAUAUUCUACUUUUCCCCAUCCAUUGAGAUUAUUACUACGGUUAUUGUAUUUUUCAGGUCUAAUAUUUCCAUUUUCUAGAUGUUCUUUUUUCUUUGCAAGAUUUUCUAUUUUCUCAUUUUGAAAAUGUGAUCAUGAAUGCAUCAUUGUAGCAUUUUUAUCAUGGCUACUUUGAAAUCCUUAUUAGAUAAUUACAGCAUCUGUGCCAUAUCAGUGUUGCCAUCUGUUAUGGUUUGGAUGUGAGGUGUCCUCCAAAAGCUCAUGUGUGGGACAAUGCAAGAAGAUUCAGAGAACAAAUGAUGGGGUUUUAAGAAUCUUAACCCAAUCAGUGAAUUAAUCCCCUGAUAGGGAUUAACUGAGUGGUAACUGAAGUGCUGGGGUGUGGCUGGAGGGGGUGGGUGUUGGGGCAUAGUUUGGGGUGUAUUUUGUGUCUGGCCAGUGGAGUCUCUCUUUGCUUCCUGAUCAUGAGGUAAGCAGCUUCUCUCUGCCACACUCUUCUGCCAUAAUGUUCAGCAUCACCUGGAGGCCCAAGGAAUGCAACUGGUCUUAAGACCUUUGAAACUGUGAGCUCUUAAAUAAACUUUUCCUUCUCUACAAUUGUUCUGGUCACCUCCUUUAGUCACAGCAGCUAAAAAGCUGACCAAAACACCAUCCAUUUAUUGUCUCUCUCAUUCUAGUUCAGAUUUUCUUGGUUCCUGGUAUGAGUGAUUUUCACUUGACCCCUGGUCUUUUGGGGUAUUAUGAAGCCUGCAGAUCUUAUUUAAAUCUCUCUUUUAUCAGGGCUUCUUGGGCUCUGCUUCUGUGGAGAAGGAGGAUGUUUCUGUUUUCAGGUGGGCCUGGACUCCGGUUCCCCCUUUGGCCUCCACGGACAGCUUUGUCAAGAAGAGAGGCCAUGACACUGCUGAAAUGGGUGGCCUGGGUGCCUCCUGACUGUUCCCUUCUGGUCCCCCCUCAUGCUGCAGAGUGGGGAGUGACCUCCUCAAUGCUGGGUGGUGGAAGAAGCUGCAGCCCACUGGGUCUCCUGACACCACUUCAGCAAGGAGGGAGAAGGGUGUCUGAUCACACCAAGUCGGGGUAGAAAUCCAGGAUUCCUCAUGGGCUCCAGGGACACCGUGAGCAACGGUGGGCGACCUUCACUCCUGGUGGGGGAUGUCUCCAGCUUCACUGGUGGGAGUAGAUAGAUUUUCUUCCUUGGCUGGAGUAAAGCAAUGACUGUCUGAAAGUUAUGAGUCUUGCUAUGCUGCCUUAUUUGGUCCUUUGGAGAGCUGGCUUUUCAUAGGGCUUUGUUAUAUGGAGCCUGAUGACACUUCCAGAUUAUCAGCAUCCGAACUAAAAUGUAUCUAUAAAAAAACCCACCAACCAACCAAAUUGAAACACCCCUGGGACCUCACUGCUUGUUGCCUCUGGAGGAACCCUUCUUCUCUCUGCUUUCCAGCCUCUUCUUGUGUUUGGUUUAUGUACAAUGCUCAGGGUUUUUAGCUGUGCUUUGUGGGAGGAAUGGAGACAAAUACAUUUAUUCCAUCUUAUCUAGACCUGGAACUCAGAUGGGUUUUGAACCACUGCACAAUGAGCUUCCAUGUUGUUUCCAACUAUCCUAGGUGGGUAGGUGAGAGAACUCAAUCAGGAAGCUACUCUUUUGAUUCUAAUCCCUCUCAUCCUCAGGCAGGGGCAUCCUGGAGGCAGGCAUGGCUUGUGUAGCCUGAAGACCUCCUCGGCUGUGGUGAGAAGGGGGGUUUCUCUGCCUACAGGGCUGCAGAUCUUUCACAUCUGGGCCAAAGUUCUUAACUCCCACAGCUUUCCUUUUUCUUUUGGCCCAAGACUGCAUGAUCAGUGUCUCUCCUAGCCUGUCUUCCUUGUACUUGUGCUGUUAUGUCUUCCUACUGUUCACCUAACUGUGUUUCCACUACACGGGGAGACACUCUGAUGUCCCUGUCACAGUGCCAUUUUAUUUCUCCAAGCUUAGUCCAGGGUAUGCUACUCAGGAGCCAUGAGUGAAGCUAGGUGGAAUUGUACUGGCUUGAGAAGGCCCUGGGGUUCUGGUUGAGUGUUAAGGAGCCAUGUUGCUGAGAAUUGAGCUUUGGAAACUUGCGGUUGGGAAGGGUAUAUGCUAGAUAAUUAGCUUUUCUAAGCCUGGCCCUAAACCCUCAAAUAAUAAAGAUCUAUAGAUUUUCCUUGGGGGUUCAGGCAGUUAAAACUUGUACCUUAUCUCAUAACCAAAUCUCAAAUUCCACUGUCCAUGACAAAGGACAAAAUUUAGGACUAAAGUAAAUAAAUGAUUAUCUUGUUUAAAGGAGGUGAGUGAUUUGCAUAUUAAGCCCUUCUCAAUGGAAUUCCAAGCACUAUAUAGGGGAAGAAAUGAAGAUGAUAUAAAUUUGUGGAAGGCCUUAAGAUGAGUCUUGCUAGAUAGUUAUGCUCAUAAUUCAGGUGUUGGCCCUGAUGCUCUGGGUGGAGGAGGAAGGGUGGGGACGCUUCAUUUCAUGAAACAAUGCUGGGCUGGGAGGCAGAAGGCUCGGGUUCGAGGUCAGGGAUAGGGAGAAAAUAGUGAAUGGGUACAAAAUUAUAGUUGGGAGGAAUAAAUUCUAGUGUUCUAUAGCACAGUAGGGUGACUAUAGUUAAUAACUAACUGUAGAUUUCAAAAUAGUUAAAAGAGAGGAUUUUGAAAGUAAAGCAAAGAAAUGAUAAAUGAGGUGAUAGAGGUGCUAAUUAUGCUGAUUUGAUUAUCACAUAUUAUAUACAUGUUUUGAAAUAUCACACUGUAUGCCAUAAAUAUGUACAAUUAUUAUGUGUCAAUUAAAAAAAAGAGAAGCUUUCUUGCUCUGUUUUCCAGAUGUUGCCUUAGAAAAUGUGGACUUAUUUAAAGUGAAUGGGACUAAUGAUAUGUGUCUCUGUUACCAAAAUAUUUUGAAUGCGCCAUUAUGCAUUUUCCAGCUUCUUAAAGGUGGUUAGGAUUAACAUGACCAGUGUGUCCUGGUUUGCCUGGGGGCUCUCCUCCUUUGUGUCCCUCUCACCCCCAGGUAAACCCUGACAGCUGGUGGCCCUCCAGCAUGAGUUCUCUGGGGAAGCCUCCUUCCUCCUACCCUAGAGUCAGGUUCACUGUGUAAAGCCACAGGGUGAGCUGGAAAAUGUGAAUAUUUGAAGGAGACAGUGUCAUAGCUCAACCCUUCCACUGUGGCUGCACUGGGGACUCUGAGAGAAUUCUAACAAACCUUGCUCUCCCCCAGUUCCCCUUAAGGGGAGGCAGGAGCUACCUUCUAGGGAACAAUGAUCCUGGGUACUGGUAUGGCCAGGUCUGGCCAGAAUCCUUUUAACAAGUAAUCUUGAGCAACUAAGUUAUUCUAUGAGGCUCAGAUUCCUAAUAUGUAAAAUAGGAAUGAAAAUCUAAACUAGGGUGGUGGAUAUUCUCAGUGUGAUUCUAUGAAUAAAGCCAUUGGGAGAAGAAGUCAUAGCAAGAAUUUCUACUUGUUAAAUAAACAUGAGUGAAGGCCAUUGAUGGACCAGGGUCCUGCACUAGGACCCAACAGACCAAACUAAAAACCAAAGUGGAGUUAGUCCUGCUAAACUUCCACAUUACCAAACCCAAGGGAAGCUGUUAUCUGACCUUCAGGAGAAAUUGGGAGAGAGAAGUAACAGGUCUUGUUUCCCAAACAGGCCUGUUUCAAUCAACACUUAUUGGUGUUUAUAUUCUUGAUAAUUGCCAUUCUGAUUGGUGUGAGAUGAAAUCUUAGAGUAGUUUUGAUUUACAUUUCUCUAAUUUUGAUUUACAUUUCUCUAGUAAGAGAGGUCGAACAUUUUUUCAUAUAUUUGUUGAUCGAUUGUAUGUCAUCUUCUGAGAAAUGUCUGUUCAGUUCCUUAGCCCAUUUAUUGAUUGGGUUGUUUGUUUUUUUGGUGUUAAGUUUUAAAGGUGCCAAAACAUACAUUGGAGAAAAGAUAGCCUCUUCAACAAAUGGUGCUGGGAAAACUGGAAAUCCAUGUGCAGCAAAAUGAAACUAAACCCCUAUCUCUCACCAUGCACAAACCUCAACUCCAGGUGGAUCAAGGACCUAGGAAUUAGACCAGAGAUCCUGUGCCUAAUAAAGGAAAAAGUAGGUCCAAGUCUUCAUCACAUUGGAUUAGGCUCUGACUUCCUUUAACAAGACUCCUAAAGCACCAGAAUUAAAAUCAAGAAUUAAUAAAUGGGUUGGAUUUAAACUAAAAAACUUCUUCUCAGUAAAAGAGACAAUCAAUGAGGUGAAGAGAGAGCCUACAUUUUUGGGAGCAAAUUUUUGCCACAUGCACAUCAGAUAGAGCACUAAUCUCCAAGAUGCAUGAAGGACUUCUGCCUUUUCUGUCUGUAAAGCUGGGCUUCUCUGCUCAGAUCGUUGGAUCAGUCAUUCUAUUUUAUGGAAUGAAGUGCUGCUCAGCUCAAUUCUAGAACUGCAAGUAAAGCCAGUCGAGAUCUUUAAAUGUGCUAUAAUUGUGUCCUUUGACAUAUCCUUAGGGAGAGCAAGUGGGUCAAGCAUUCAUACCUCACCUGAUCUCUUUAGACCUCCAUUAAUCUACACCGAGCAGAACAAGAGGGUUUUCAAAGCAUUGCAGAUGGAAUCCUCAUGGCCAUCUUCAGAGUUGGUGCUAAUAUGACUCCCAUUCAAUAGGCAGAAAGAUGGGCUUAAUGAGACUUUGCCAAAGAUUACAGUUAGUUAGGUGAGUUAGGUGAGUGGUAGGACUAACUUGUUCGGACUCAAAAGGCACUUUUUUUGUUUCUAACUGGAUAAAUCUAUAGGCUCGGGGUGCUGGCUAAGCCUAAUGAUGUUCUGCAUGUACUUUGGGUUCAGACUGUUGGCUCUGAUUUCUUUCGAACCCAGCUUCCCUGUGAUUGUGAGAUCACCCGCCCAGGGAGCUCAAGGUUUGAUUGAUCCUUUGACCCCCGGGGCAAUGGGAACAGCUGGUAAAAUUUGGACCUUGCCUCCCCACAACCCACCAUGACCAGGCUACAUGGCCUAGGACUUCCUCAGACUUGGGAGAAAUCAAAGGACCCAGGACUGUAAUCUGGCAGUGGUUCAUUCAUUUCUUCCUUUAUUCCUGUGGCAUGGAUUCAUGGCAGGCUUGCAUUUACCAUUUUGCAAACUCUGAGUUCAUAAUCCAGGAGAGGGAGAGCCUACAGGGAACACAUGGGUGCUGGGAGGGAGGGUGCACUCGAUACCGUCUGCCUGGAUAGUCAGUAUUAGGUCGAUUUGAGGUGGCUAAGGGAACAAAGCACCAGGUAAUGUACACACGCAAAAGAACAACCCAUCAGGCACCAACAGACAAGCAGUGAUAAUCACCUGUCAAUCAGCGGGGUCUCCUGACCAAUCCUGGAAGGACAUGGAACUCAGCAAGAUCCCCCGACCCACCCCAGGAGGACAAGGGACCCUGAAAACCUCACUUUCCUGUCCCAAGCCCAAACCCCAUAAAAUUCCAAUCCCACUGAGCCUGAGUGCAAUCCCCCCAGACCCAAACUCUGUUGGACUGGAGGGUCUUGCUUGGGAACGAAUCUCAAUAAAGCCUUUUCAGCAGCUUUUAAUCUGCCUCCUUUUGGUCACUGGUGCCUGACCUUACAUCUGGUGCUGAAACCCAGGUGGGCUUUUCGGGCCUCCCCCAUAUCUUAUAUCUGGGGUAGAAGUCCACCCUCCUUUUCAAAUGAACCAGGAAAUUCCUAAGCUGCUGUUUCUUUCUCUCUCCCUUCAUCUGGGCUGACAGGAGUGGGGUAAGUUCCCUUGUUUCCCCUGACCUUCCAGCCCCUCUCCAUCCGGGGGGUCUAUCUGUAAGUCAUGCAUAUGCCAUAGACCCUGCCUGUUCGGCUCAAGGCCCUGGGAACUGUAGAGACGUCCCAAUCCUCAUUCUGAUCCGUUUGGGUCCCCGGUGAGUUGCAAGGAUGCCUCAACCCCUGCCCCAGCCCUCAGAUGAGUGUGAUCAGAAUUAGGGACGCCUUUUCCUGCUCCCACCCACCCCUGAGGGUGCUGGAAGGUCAUGGGAAACACUGAGUCCUCCUUAGACCCCCAAACUCCUUUGGGUUGCCUUUUGCCAAAUUAGGACUCACUCAAGACCUGCGUCGUACUUAGACAAUGCGUCAAAAUGGCUCCCAGAAGGAACUUCUGAAUUUCACAUCCUCAUUGAUGUGGACAAUUUCUGUUACCAGGCAGGAAAGUGGGCCGAAGUCCCUUACAGGCUUUUUGGGCUAUUCGCUCCUGUUCUCCCCUCUGCUCUACCUGUUCUACUGCUCAAGUUUUCCCUGCUAGGGAAAAUCCCAAACCCCUUCCCCAUUGUUCUUCACAUCUCGUUCCUCAUUCUCAGAUCCACCGGAGCUGCUCUCAGCCCCACCUUUCUGUCCCCCACCCCACCUACUCAGGCCAAUCCUCUCCCUCCUCUCCUCCCACACCUGCACCCUCCCCUCCCCCUUCUCCUGCUGUCUACGACUCAUGACCAACUCCUCUGGCUCCAGAGACUCUGCCCACACCUAAACCCUCCCUGACCCCUUUUCCAGUUUUACAACCCCUCUUUUACUUCCCAGGGAUGAGAACCACUCUCCAGCAGGUCCACUCCGCUUGUUCUGUCUGCUCUACACUAUCCCCACAGGGGGCAUCAAAUCUAAAGUCCCCAGGCGUCAGAUAUGGGGCCACCAGCCAGGCGAAGACUGGCAGAUCCACUUCACUCACAUGCCUAAGCACAAAAAGCUGUGCUACCCACUUACUUUGGUUGAUACUUUUUCAGGUUGGAUAGAAGCCUUCCCUACAUCCAGGGAAACCGCUGACACCGUCAUCUCCAUCCUCAUCCAGCAGAUCAUUCCCAGGUUUGGAACUUCCCGCCACCAUCAAGUCAGACAAUGGUCCAGCCUUCACUUCUGCAGUUGUUCAACUAGUCUCCAAAGGCCUGGCAUCACUUGGAGGCUCCACAUCCCACACCGGCCCCAAUCCUUGGGUAAGGUUGAGAGGGCUAACGGCAUUCUCAAGGAUCAUCUCACUAAACUUGCUGUUGAACUCAGGCUCUCCUGGCCCAUCUCCUUCCAUUGGCCCUCACCCAAAUUCAGGCAGUCCCCAGAGCCCCCUCAGGUCUGAGCCCCUUUGAGCUACUCUAUGGGUGCCCUUUCUUAAUCAGCCAGAGCUUUCCAGCCACUCCUCCUCCCCUUGUGUCCUACCUGCCCUAUCUGACACUUCUACUCAAACUCCUAAGGGAAUACGCAGACCGGUGCCCUCCUUGGUCAUCCAUUGCCUCAAAUCCAGCGCAACCACAAACCGGAUUGGACCCUCUUCAAGUGGGUGACACAGUCUUACUUUGAGAGCUGCAUCCUCAAUCAUUGAAACCUUGCUGGACGGGACCCCAUACAGUCAUACUUACUACCCCAAUGGUGGGCCAAGCUUUUGGGCCACUCCCCCGGGUACCAUGUCUCCUGCCUUAAAAAGGUGCCUGUUCCAAAUGUCCAGUCCUGGACUUCCAUCACGCCGGGGCCAACCAAACUCAAGAUUUCUCACUAACCCUCUUCUUCUUUUACUAAUUAUGAAUUUCUCUCAAGCUUCUAUCCCAACCCACAGAUGGCGCUUUUACAUCCUAGCGACAUGGCACCAGGAUGGCACCACCCGCUCUCAGUUUAUGGGUCAAGGCGAUUGCCCUUCCACUGGCUGCAAUCGAGCGGUCACCCUUAACAUUACUGGAUUCAACAGGGCCACCUCGUCCCACCUGUGUGCAGCAAUGCUAUGCUUCAUAUCAGACCAAACUGAGGAAUCUUGUAAGCGCUGGCCUGACACCUAUGGCGGGUGUCCUUAUAAUUCAUGCAAAAAACGCUUCCUAGAUAAGCCUUGCUAUGAGAAACGAGCACACACCAAGUUAACUAUUUGGGACCCAUGGGAUCCGAAAUGGGCUUCCGGUGUUGAUGGUAAAUUUUAUUCUUGGGGUUUUGCCCAGCUCCCCUCAGCCUCUAUCAGAAUCUGGAGAACUUAUGUACAAGUGUUCCCUCAAAUUCACAUAACCAUCCAGGGGCCAGAGAAGGAACUCCAAUACCAACUGGAUGCAGUUGCCCAUCCUAAAGCUGACCCUUUCUCAUGGAUGGUCCUAAUACGUCAGGGCCUUCAGCUCCUCAAUUUAUCCAAAGUUAGUAACAUUUCAGACUGUUUCCUCUGUGCAGGUUUGGAUCGUACUCCAUUGACUGCGAUUCCCAUUGAUCUUCCUCUCAAUACCUCAACCAUAUCCCAAGGGCCCCCCUGUCCAGCCUUUGAGGAAGUACCUCUUUUUCAUAACUCACCAGGGAAUUUCCCCUGCUGCUACACUUCCUCUGGUUCGGCACCCUGUGACCAGAUCAUUCGGAUCUCUUCCCCAACCUUUGCUCCGCCGGGGUUCUUUUUCUGGUGCAAUGGUACCCUAACAAAAAAUCUAAGCCUCAACAUGCCUUUUGCUUUCUGUGUUCCUUCCACCUUGGUUCCAAAAUUAACUCUGUACACUGAGGCUGAAUUAACAUGGUAUGUCACCACCUCCCUUUCCAGGACAAGAAGGGUCGUCUUUCUACCAGUAGUAGUUGGACUCUCCCUGGCCUCCUCCCUUGCUGCCUCUGGACUGGGGGCAGGAGGACUUGGUUAUGCAGUAACCGUUACUCAGAAGCUUGAACAACAAUUUCGGGAAGCAGUAGAGGCAUCAGCCGCUUCUCUCGCUUCCCUACAAAGGCAAAUAACAUCUCUUGCCCAAGUUUCAUUACAGAACCUUCAAGCCCUAGAUCUCCUGACGGCAGACAAAGGAGGACCAUGUCUAUUCCUGAAAGAAGAAUGCUGCUACUAUAUCAAUGAAACUGGAUUGGUCGAAAAGAAUGUCGACACCCUCUAUCGUCUGGGUGAAAGACUUAAACAGCAGCAAUCAAAUGACCCUUGGCCACGCUGGCUAAACUCUGCCCUCAUUUCAUGGCUGACUCCCAUUCUCACUCCUAUGUUAGUAAUAGGAUUUCUAUUAAUGAUUGCUCCCUGCAUCCUCAGGUUUGCCCGAAAGUGCAUGGAUGAGAUGGCCAGAGUUACCUACCAGCAGAUGCUCCUACACCCCUAUGGUCGCCUCCCUACCAAACUGACACCCAAGCCACACCUUUCCGCCCAGCGCCCCUAGCCAGCAGGAAGUAGCCAGAUGGAAUUCAGCGCCCUGUAUCAUCAAAAAGGCUGGGAUGUUAGGUUGGUUUGAGGUGGCUAAGGGAAAAAUGCACCAGGCAACCUGCGCAUGCGGAUGAACAACCCCUCAGGCGCCGACAGACAAGCAGUGAUAAACACCUGUCAAUCAGCAGGGUCUCCUGACCAAUCCUGGAAGGACAUGGAGCUCAGCAAGAUCCCCCGACCAACCCCAGGAGGACAAGGGACCCUAAAAAACCCUCCUUUUCCUGUCCCAAGCCCUCCCUUCCUGCCCUAAGCCUGAUGAAAUUCCAAUCUGGCUGAGCCUGGGUAUGACUCACCCAGACCCGCUUUGUUGGGCUGGAGGGUCUCGCCCAGGAGUGAAUCUCAAUAAAGCCUUAUCAGCAGCUUUUAACCUGCCUCCUUUUGGUCACCGGUGCCUGACCUUACAGUCAGAGAAGGCUUUCUGGAGGAGGAAGCAUUUGAAGGACACCUGGGAAGACUGUGCUGGCUUGGUAGACAAAACGUGGGGAGCAUGGCAGCAGCUAGGCUGACACUGACAAAGGUGUGAGCAGAUGUAUGUGUUGGGGAAGUUGAGGGCAGUUGGACACUGCUGUGGCUUUGCAAAGGAGCUGCAGCCAUCCUGGAGGCCUGGAGAGUUCAGAGGAGGAAGUGGCAGCCAGUUUUGUGGGCUAAGAAGGUACUGCAUGGAUUAUUGGGGGUCUGAGCGGGUCCAGUGUCGGGUGCUGACUGCUGUAUGCAGAACAGGGAGAGCUCCCCAACCCUGCACCUCCCUUGUUCCAGCUGCUGCCUUGGUGGCCCUGAACGUCUGAGAAUCAAGUCUGGCCAGUGUGGUCCUUAACAUCCUUGACGUCACUGUUGAUGGGGAUCUUCAGGACCCAGAAGCCCCACUGGGGGUAUAAGGAAAGAAGGGGUCUGACUGAGGCUCAGGAUUCAUGGGGGGCAGGUGGAGGGGUAAAGGGACACAGGAAGGAGGAGGGAUGGAGCUUUCAGGUUGAAGGGAAUGUGA
rnacentral:lncRNA from 1 species